rnacentral:rRNA from 1 species
UAUGGUUAAGCUACUAAGAGCACACGGAGGAUGCCUAGGCGCUAGGAGCCGAUGAAGGACGUGGCGAACAACGAAACUGCCUCGGGGAGCUGUAAGCAAGCUUUGAUCCGGGGAUGUCCGAAUGGGGAAACCCAGCUGGGGUAAUUUCCAGUUACUCAUAACUGAAUACAUAGGUUAUGUAGAGGCAUACCAAGGGAACUGAAACAUCUAAGUACCUUGAGGAAGAGAAAACAAUAGUGAUUCCGUCAGUAGCGGCGAGCGAACGCGGAGAAGCCCAAACCAGAGAGCUUGCUCUUUGGGGUUGUGGGACAUCUCACAUGGAGUUACAAAGGAACCGGUUAAGCGAAGAGGUCUGGAAAGGCCCGCCAAAGAAGGUAAAAGCCCUGUACUUGAAAGUCUGUUCUCUCCGAGAUGUAUCCCGAGUAGUGCGGGGCACGUGAAACCCCGUAUGAAUCCGGCAGGACCAUCUGCCAAGGCUAAAUACUUCCUAGCGACCGAU